AAGUCGUAACAAGGUUUCCGUAGGUGAACCUGCGGAAGGAUCAUUAUCGACUCUUGAAAGCGAGAGGUCUGUGCUGGCGCGGAAACGCGCAUGUGCACGACCUUUCGUGCUCAAAUCCAUUUCAACCCCUGUGCACCUUAUAAGUCGGAAGUCAGUAGUCUCUGUAAUCGAACGGGCUUUGAAGUACGCCAACCGGCAGAAAAAGGGGCUCUUAUUAGAGAGAAGGAGACGAAGGCUUUCGGCUAAUAUUACAAAACACACCUUAAUUGUUAUGUGAAUGUAAUGCCCCUUGUGGGUGAUAAAUGAAAUACAACUUUCAACAACGGAUCUCUUGGCUCUC
rnacentral:misc_RNA from 1 species